GGGCAGGUCUUUCCAAGACGCCUGCGCCGAACCAGCUUGUCGGCGCCAUUUUGUCUGGGCAGCGGUGGCUGCAGCUCUAUCGCUUUUUAUGUUUCUGGCCAGACGAGAGCGGAUUCUUUAGUCUGUAGAUUCGUUUUUCUGCGGCACCCAUCCACCGUUCUCUCCAGGACAAAACCUAGUGAACGUUGGAAGAGUCGCGAUCUGCCGGAAAGUUGGUCAGAAGAAAACAGGACAGUUCAGUGACAAAUACCCGAAAGUAUUACUGAGAGUAAGCCUUAUUUCGAGGAAACAUGAAGGAAAGUGUUCCAGAUUUUAAAAGACCUGGAUCAGCUAUCUGUUGAAAAUUCUAUUUCUGGUAUGCAGUUUUACUUAACUAUUCAUUAGUAAUCAAGAUUGGCCAUGUUACUAUUAUAUGUUUGCUUUUGAAAAAUGAUAGGAUUUGUUCCACUGUGAAGUUAUUUCUGUAAAUGUCUGUAUGUUGAAAAGUGGAACAUUGUUUUGUUGAAUGUAGCUGCUUUCCUAAUGAUUUUGUUAAAUUUUUUUGGAAAGUUAAAUGAUUUGCUUAUUAGCACCCUUUGCUAUUUCUACAUUGUCUUGUGCCCUAGAUAUCAGUGCGUAUUUUAUGACCAUUCAUAGACACUGAGUUUCUUUCAUAUAUGAUGCAAACAAGAGCAUAUGUUAGAAUUUGGAUUCAAGUCAUCUAGGUUACUUUGUAGCAUUCCUUCCUGGCAAGGACCUGUGCUCCAGGAGCUUACUAUCAGUAAAGGGAAGACCGUAAUUAAAUAUGUGGAAGUUAAUAUAGUUACUUCGAAAGGUUUGGUCAGUUUAGAUUAAUUGAACUUUUUAAAGUUAAAUCAUGGCUCCCUACAAAAAUUGAUUUGUCAAAAGAUCAGUACACAGUUAGCUCUAAUUGUUUUUAAAAACACAAAUUGUGUUGUAGUACCAACAAAAAGCCAUCAUUUGUUGAGCCAUCAUUGAAGGCUUUUCAAGGUUAGUGGUAUGUAGUAUGUAAAAUUAGAAGAAGGGAAGUCAUUCUAAGUGAAUGGAGAUUGUGAGCAAGGAUGCAGUUACGUAAGAAAAGCUAUGUUUGGGACAGUGAGUAAACCAAUUUGGAGAGGAUGACUGAUUAAAAAUUACAUUGGGAAAACUGUGAAGCCAGUUGGUCAAGGUUUCUAGAAUUAGCUGCAUAUCAGAAUUGUAUGGGGUGCUAGUCCUUUAUAGAUUUAGGAACAUCUAAAAGGCCUUAAAAGCUGGGAUGUGGCAGAAAACAAAGAUUGUAUUUUGUUUUGUAUUAUUUUCAAACUUUACAGAUCAAAGUGGACUUCACCAUUCACUUCUAAUCCCACCCUAUCAUUAGAUUUUUUAAAUGGCCUUCUUCCUGUCUGUAUAUAUAUUCUGUCUUUAGACUUAGGGAAGUUUUUAUUUUCUUUGUUCCGUAACAUAGUAAUAGGCAUUCAUUGUCCUGCAUGGUCUUCACAAUGAUGUUAAUGUCUGAAAACAUUCCAUCAAAGUGUUUUAUCUUUAACCUCAUAUUUCUAUUCCUCGACCAUUUAGGUUUCUAGCUCUUAAAUACUGUAGUUAUCAUCUAUGUUCAUACAGUAUUUUCUGUUUUUUGCACUGUUCUUGUAGGAUUGAUUUAAAAGGUCACCAUAUGGGGAGUUCCCAUCAUGGUUCAGCAGAAAUGAAUCUGACUAGAAUCCAAGAGGAUGCAGGUUCAAUCCCUAUCCUCAGUUCAGUGGAUUAAGAGUCUGGCAUUGCUGUAACCUGUGGUGUAGGUCACGGAUGUGGCUAGUAUCUGGUGUUGCUUUGGUUGUGGUGUAGGCCAGCAGCUACAGCUCCUAUUUGACCCAUAGCCUGGGAACUCCAUUAGCCAGGAACUUUUUUGCCUAAAAAGACAAAAAAAGGAAAGAAAAAAAAAAGGGGGUCAUUGUAUGAACAUUUUUAUGACUCUUAAAACAUUGCCAUGUUGUUUUCCAAAAGAUAUAAUUUACCCUGUCACCUUUCCUGUGAAUUUAGCUACCAGCAUCAAGUAGUCUGUAACUAUAAUCAUUUGCUAAGUUAAAAUAUGUUGAAUUUUCUUUCUCUUUGUAGCAUUUUUGUUGUUAACUGUGAAGCGGGCUGUCUUUCCAUAAUUUCACUUUCUGAUUCUUAUUUGUAGACAAGUUGUCUAUUCAAGACUUCUCUCCAUUUAUGUGUUAAGAGUUUUGAUAUUUUAUUCUUAAAUUCUCUUGAGUUUGUUAGUAGUAAUUUUCUGUAGAUAUUUUCCAUAAAGACUUCCUGUUCGAUUUUCAUUAUUUUUGCUGAGGGUUUUUGAAUAGAUACAAAAUGUAUUACACUAUUUUCUACAUUCUGACUUUUAAUUCCAUUCUUCCAUUAGACUUUUUGGUGCUUUUAUUAGGGCUUUCUUAUUUCUGGUUUUGAAAGUACAACUUGAAAAGUUAACCUAAAUUAAUAAGUAAAAUAAGUGCAGGAAAACCAGAUGAUUCUCAAACUAAUUUAAAGAAAGGUUAGUUUUUCUUUCUUUUUUUCCUUCUUCCAGUUUUGAGAUAUAAUUAACGUAUAGCACUGUGUAAGUUGUGUACAGCAUAAAGAUGACUUAAAUCAUGAAAUGAUGACCACAGUAAGUUUAGUGAAUAUUCAUCAUCUUAUACAGAUAGAAAAUAUUUUUCCUUGUGAUAAGAAUUCUUAAGAUUUACUCUUUUGAAUUCUUAAGAUUUACUCUUUACUCAGCUUUCAUAUAUAACUUACAGUGGUGUUAGUUUUAUUUAACAUGUACAUUAUAUCCCUACUACUUAUCUUAAAAUUGAAAGUUUGUGCCUCAUCUAAUUCCCCCUCCUAUUCCCCACCUAUGGUAACCACAAAUCUUUUCCUAUGAGUUUGUUGAAGUAUAAUCUCCAGCACUGUGUUAGUCUCUAGUACCUGCCUCAUCUGUAAACUAAGGAUAGCAAUAGAGCUGACCUAGUUAGGAUUAGUUUUAAGUGAGUUAAUAUAUGUAAAGUACUUAGAAUUAUGCUCGAACUUAGUGUGUAUAGUGCUAUUCCAAAAUGUCUGUCAUCCCAAGAGAGUUUUAAAGAAAUUUGUUAUUGUAUUUACAUACAGAAACAAAGCAUCUAGACUCUGCCUCCCAUUCAGGACCUUCCUGAAUGUUGUAUCAAUCUCUCUCAACUUACUUCCUACUUCUUCCCUUCAGUUAUUCUUUGCUGCAGUCGCACUAGAACUAUCCUGUCUUCCCUAUAAAAGCUCUCUAUUUUCCCAGUUCUUUGUUUUUAUUCAUACUUUUCCCACCACCUGGAAUGUUGCCCUAUCACCACAUGUUCACAAAGUGCUUUUUAAGUGAUGCUUUCCUUGAUACCUCUGCAACUGUAGUAAUCUGUCCAUGUGAAUUUCAUUUAUUUGCUUUUACAUGAUUCCUACCACUUUCUAUAUUGCAUUUUAGCUUUUUGUCCACUCAUGUGUCCUUCACUAAGUUAUGACAUCUUAUAGACAGAGAACUGUACCUUAUUGGGACUUUUGUAGGUUUAGGACCUAUCACAGGCCUUGGCACUUAGUAGAACUCAUUUGUGGAGCGACACUUUAUAAAAAGGUAUAGUAAGCUAAAAGGCGACAUUUAAU